UUUAUGUUCCUCUCUCUUCUUCUUGAUUUUUCUUUUUCUUUUGGGUACCAAACUUCAAAUCAAGAUUUCUCCUUCAAUAUUUAGAAUUUUUGGAAGCCGUUUGCGGCAAAUCGAAGCCUACGACGAGGCCUUCAAAUCCAUACCAGCAAUUUCAGCAUUUGGCACUUUAGGGAGUUCAAAAAUUUGGACCCAUUUUGAGGGUUUUGCACAAUUUUGAGGUACACCACAGUGACUUCAGUGAGAGAGUGCUGCCUAAUUUUUCAGGACCACUCUUACACCUCUCUCUCUAUUCUCUAUUUAUCCCAUCUUACACUUGCAUGUCCACUGUGCACUGAUUAUCCUAUCUUGUUAUCUAAUGAGUUUAUUCGAGUGCAAACUUUUCAGGACCACAGUUUAUCCCAAGUUUGGGGGGGCCAUGCCACCCACUUUGGAUACUUCUAUCCCGAUCAUUCAUGUCUAAAGCACUGGUAUACUCUUUCUUUUGUUCUCUUCACACAUUGAGGACAAUGUGCAGUUUAAGUUUGGGGGUAUUGGUGUAUGUUUCAGUGUUACUUUAAAAUUCAAAUUUUGAGCAUGUCUUGUGUAUUUGAGGGAUAUUUCUAUACUUGGUCCAUUUCUAGCUAUGAUUUUGAUCUUUUGAGGACUAUAUUGCUUAAAAUUUAAAAAUUGCUUGACUUGAGAGUCCAAUACUCCUUGUAUGCCUUGAAGAUGCCAUUUAGGAGUAAAUUUUUCAAAAGAUUGAUAUCUUGCUUGCAUUUGUGGUCCACAUCAUCCUGAUUUUGUGAUUGUUUUGAGAUUCAUUCUAGGAUUCUACAUUAGCACCGGCGCACGCUAGCAUUCAAUUGUGGGGUACAUGCUUUGUUGAUUAUUGAAUUGGUUAUAUCCCAAUUGGGCUAGUAGUGCAUUGAAAGCUUUCAUUCUUGAUAAAGGUGGAUAACAACCCCUUUCCAUUGAGUAGCCGGGAUUCUUGCCUCAUUAAGCAGUGAACUUCUCGCGCCGAAAGGUGGAGGGCCCAAACUCUAGGUUAAUAAUUGAAUUGAAAAAAAGAAAAAAAGAAAAAGAAGAAGUUACAAAAAGCAAUAAAAGUGAGGACUUCUCCCAAAAGGUGAGAAGUGGGAAAUGAUUAGAUGGUUGUUGUCUUGAUUUGUAGCCUAGUUGAUUUGAGUUUGUAAGUCCGUAGGGGUGUCUUAACACCUAAUGCCCUAAAGCCAUCUGGUUUGGGAGUCAUUGACCUAAAGCUCGCUACAUGAAUCUUCUAGAAAGCUUAAGAGAUCAACACAUUGCACAAUACUUCCAUCUUUGAUCCUCAAUAAAAAUAAAAAAAUAAAAAAAAUA